GAAUCUUGCGCAAUGGGGGAAACCCUGACGCAGCGACGCCGCGUGCGGGAUGAAGGCCUUCGGGUCGUAAACCGCUUUUCUGGGGGACGAGGAAGGACGGUACCUCAGGAAUAAGUCCCGGCUAACUACGUGCCAGCAGCCGCGGUAAAACGUAGGGGGCGAGCGUUAUCCGGAAUUACUGGGCGUAAAGGGCGUCUAGGCGGCCUGUUAAGUUCGGCGUGAAAGCUCCCGGCUCAACUGGGAGAGAGCGCUGGAUACUGGCAGGCUUGAGUCUUGGAGAGGUGCGUGGAAUUCCCGGUGGAGUGGUGGAAUGCGUUGAGAUCGGGAGGAACACCAGAGGCGAAGGCGACGCACUGGCCAACGACUGACGCUGAAGCGCGACAGCGUGGGGAGCGAACGGG
rnacentral:rRNA from 1 species